rfam:Perkinsus marinus ATCC 50983 gcontig_1104296739524, whole genome shotgun sequence.
GGGCGUGUGAUUUAGAGGUAUCACGUCUGCUUUGCAUGCAGAAGGCCCCGAGUUCAAUUCUCGGCAUGUCCA